CCUACGGGAGGCAGCAGUGAGGAAUCUUGGUCAAUGGACGAGAGUCUGAACCAGCCAAGUAGCGUGAAGGAUGACUGCCCUAUGGGUUGUAAACUUCUUUUAUAUGGGAAUAAAAUGUUCCACGUGUGGGAUUUUGUAUGUACCAUAUGAAUAAGGAUCGGCUAACUCCGUGCCAGCAGCCGCGGUAAUACGGAGGAUCCGAGCGUUAUCCGGAUUUAUUGGGUUUAAAUGGAGCGUAGGUGGAUUGUUAAGUCAGUUGUGAAAGUUUGCGGCUCAACCGUAAAAUUGCAGUUGAAACUGGCAGUCUUGAGUACAGUAGAGGUGGGCGGAAUUCGUGGUGUAGCGGUGAAAUGCUUAGAUAUCACGAAGAACUCCGAUUGCGAAGGCAGUUCACUGGACUGCAACUGACACUGAGGCUCGAAAGUGUGGGUAUCAAACAGGAUUAGAUACCCCGGUAGUC
rnacentral:rRNA from 1 species